UACAGAGGGCGCAAGCGUUAAGCGGAAUUAUUGGGCGUAAAGCGUGCGUAGGCGGUUUGUUAAGUUGGAUGCGAAAGCCACGGGCUCAACCUGGGAACUGCAUCCAAAACUGGAAAGCUAGAGUACGGUAGAGGGUGGUGGAAUUUCCUGUGUAGCGGUGAAAUGCGUAGAUAUAGGAAGGAACACCAGUGGCGAAGGCGACCACCUGGACUGAUACUGACACUGAGGUGUGAAAGCGUGGGGAGCAAACAGG
rnacentral:misc_RNA from 1 species